UACGUAGGUGACCAGCGUUGUCCGGAUUUACUGGGCGUAAAGAGCGCGCAGGCGGUUGUUCAAGUCGAGUGUGAAAGCCCCCGGCUCAACUGGGGAGGGUCAUUCGAUACUGAUCGACUGGAAGGCAGGAGAGGGAAGCGGAAUUCCCGGUGUAGUGGUGAAAUGCGUAGAUAUCGGGAGGAACACCAGUGGCGAAGGCGGCUUCCUGGCCUGUUCUUGACGCUGAGGCGCGAAAGCUAGGGGAGCAAACGGG
rnacentral:rRNA from 1 species